rnacentral:rRNA from 1 species
CCUACGGGUGGCAGCAGUGAGGAAUAUUGGUCAAUGGGCGGGAGCCUGAACCAGCCAAGUCGCGUGAGGGACGACGGUCCUAUGGAUUGUAAACCUCUUUUGUCGGGGAACAAAGGCGCCAACGGGUGGGCGGAUGAGUGUACCCGAAGAAAAAGCAUCGGCUAACUCCGUGCCAGCAGCCGCGGUAAUACGGAGGAGGCGAGCGUUAUCCGGAUUUAUUGGGUUUAAAGUGUGCGUAGGCGGACAGUCAAGUCAGCGGUAAAAAUGCGGUGCUCAACGCCGUACAGCCGUUGAAACUGGCAGACGUGAGUGGGCGAGAAGGAUGCGGAAUGCGUGGUGUAGCGGUGAAAUGCAUAGAUAUCACGCAGAACCCCGAUGGCGAAGGCAGCAUACUGGUGCACAACUGACGCUCAGGCACGAAAGCGUGGGUAUCGAACAGGAUUAGAUACCCCUGUAGUC